rnacentral:lncRNA from 1 species
UAGACGUGUUGGAGCAGUGCUGGGAGAACUGUGGGAAGUUCAUGUGGGAUCAGUUUGGCAAGGACAGCAUCCUGUGGGAGUGACCCACAUGGGGCAGGGACAGAGAGCGACCAUGGAGGAGCUGCAGCCACCAUGAGGCCUCUGCUCUGGGCUGAGCGUACCCAGGGACCUCAGCUGCUCCUCACACACUUUGCUUUCCAGACCCUUCCCCGUGUUUGUUGCCCUCCUUUAGACACUGCCUAAUAGCUUUAUGCCCUUUUUAUACUGUGGGCCCAAACCCACGCCCAGUGCUGGAGGUGAGGCUACACCAGUGCAGAGCAGAGGGAACAACCCCUCCCUUCGUCCAGUGGCAGUGCUAGGCCUGAAAUUACAUUUAGUUCUUCAGGCAGAAGCAAUACAGCCCUAUUUAGAUUUACAAAGGCUGCCCUGGCUCUUGCUCUCAUCUUGGAUGUUAUAAUUUUAUCCUUUUAUUUUCCAAGGUUGCUGGGUAUUCCAUGGAGAUUCAUGAAUGUAUAUAUAUACAUUCAUACACACAUAUAUGGAUACUCCAUGAAUAUACUCAGGAAUCAUAAAUGUUCAAUUCUACACCAUAUUGUACAGAUGUAUAACUGGAAGAUAUGAUGCCCAACACAGUGUUUAUGUGUCCUACUCUUGUUUUCCUGCUCACACAGGUUUAUUUUCUCUCUCAAGUUCAAAGUAUGCAACUCAAAAAGUCCAGAAAAUAAGGGACAUGCCUCAGAGUAUGUGCUUUGCUCAGCUUUGUGACUGUCUUAUUUGUCUCUACAGCAAUUCGUGCAAGUUAAGCCAAACAAAGAUCUACUGUACCUUGACAGCAGGACCAUCUGGAGUUCAUUCUUGUAAUUAUUUUCAGGCAUACACGGUCCUCCUCUGGCAAAUAGGCAUUUUAAGGCAUCACGGGGCAUGUUCAUUAGCAUACUGGGAAUCAAAAGGGAUUGCAUCUGGUAAAGGGAAUUAA